UUUUUUUUUAAAUUCAGGUAGUGAUUGGCCCAGCAGUGAAUCCUUUACAGCCAGACACACCAGUCAGCUGAUCACCUGGCAGGAUGGACGUUGCAGUAGUGACUUCUUGUCUUCUCUUCCAAAACCAGACUCACAUCUCAGUGUGGCCACAGGAUUUGGAUGUGCAACAAUCUUCUGGUACAUGAAGCACAGGCCUGAGUUCCUCAAGGACUUCACAGCUGCAGGCACUAUUCAGGACUAUGUGGUGUCCAUGUUGUGCGGAUUGGACAACUGCGUCAUGACGCCUCAGAAUGCAGCCAGCUGGGGUUUCUUCAACACCCGGACCAACCAGUGGAACACAGACGUGUAGGUAUAGUGAUUCAUUUUCCAUUUGGCAAGGAAAUAAAACAAGACUGGAAAAAAAUGUUUAGUACGUCAGUGUUUAAA